UGACACUUUGAACCUGGCCAGAUUUCUGGAAUUGCCAAGUCAUUUGCAUCCACUGUCCCCAGCUCCGAUCCUGCGGAGGGUGAAUAAGGAAUCUUUAAAAACCCAUUUUUUUUUUUAAUCCCUCCGUGGAAGUGAAAUUUCCAAUGGCAAAUAAAAAGCGACCCACGGACAUCGCCCCUGUAAAGGACGGAGGACUCGCUUUCACCCCUGCUUUUCUUGAGCUGGGGCCAGCCUUCCCUGCUGUCUGUCUUAUGGAAUACGGAGCCAAAGGAACACUCCUAAAGGGGAAGAGAGACUUCCUUUCCCUUCCGUUUGCAGAGGGAGCCUAAGGCAGCAAGUUUGGACUAGCCGCUUCCCCACAAAAGACCCCACACCAAGCUCAUUUUGAAGGGCGCCCCUGUGUUUUCUUUCCUGUUUUCUGCUGGGACUGUCUGGACUUCUAAAUUACAUGGGGGAACAGCUGGGGAACAGAAAAGCUUCUCUCAUCUGCUCUCUGGCCCUGCCUCAGACUCCGGGAGCUCUCCCUCAACUGGCCAAAUGGGAAGACAGAUGAAAAGCAUCAUGUCUGAGAUGCCCUGGGUCCUCAUUCUCUAUCAAAAAUGAUCCCCUGUCUCCUGCACUCCAGCUACUGCUUGACACCCCCACGUGAAGGAUCACACAGAGAGUGGAUGAUUUGGACACAGACUGCAGCCUUGGGGACUCAUGUUCUUCCCAAGAAACCCACCACCUGGCAGGCUAAGCAGACAUGCUCCCCCUCUGUUCUUGAAGAUGGAAAUAAGCGAUAGGCAAGUGACAAAAGAGAACAGAUAACGUGCAUCUUCCCAGGCAACCUAAUCUCAUCCAGAGAAAAUGGCCUCAAGCUGAGAACCAAGGCAAUGAGCCACGCACAGGGAUGCUGCCCCGGCCCCUCCCCUGCAGACUUGACAACAAGUUGAGGUAGGGCCAUGUCUCAUCUUGGAUUUGCCUCUGAAGUGACUACCAGGUUGCGCUCAUGAAAUCCCCCCUAAGCGAGUGUUUCCUUGGCUAUGACAUACUGAUCCCAUUCUCUCCUGAUCGAUAGCUGUUUCUGGUAGAAAACUGCCUUAGUCACUGUUUCUAAAUCAAUCUUCAGAGCACCUUGUAAGCUCCUGGGACCACAUCUUCCCAGUUACCUGUAAGUGACACCCAUUCAUUUCAAUAGGAGGGACAUGUAAUUACUAGAAGGGACAAUUUGGCUGAUGGGCUUAUUGACAGUGCCCGGCCCUCCAAAUGCGCAUUUACAUCCUGCAACCACUAUUUAAGAAGAUUGCAUGCCGCAUGAAUUAGGGGUUGCACACUGAAGCCACCUCCGUUUUUACUCAUACAUUCCUUAUCUUUUUCUCCGAGUAUUCUCCUCGCAGAUUCAUACCAGGUUAUCUUUUUUUCCCCCUGACAUCCACUUCUCCAGAAUGUCUACUCUUUGUUUUCCUAAAGAUAAGGGCCUUUCCUAAAUUCGGUUGCGAGGGGGAAAGUUGCCGACUGUUGGUCCCUAGAGAUGUUGGGAAUUGGAGGCACUGUGGUUCCUGGCCAGUUCUGCUGGGAUUGUCGUCUCCUGACCUCUGGAUCCGUUCUGGCCUGCGUAUCUGUCCUUUAUAUUUUUUAGCACUGUUUCAGGAAGGAAAAGAAAUAUUGUCCCCUGCCAAGGUUGUAGUUUGGAAUCCGCGAAUCACUGGUAUCCCUUGGCAUUCUACACAAAGAAUAGACAUGUGCAUGUUGUGCAUGUUCAGAAGCUGGAAGCUACAGGUAAUGGGCUGAGUGGUUUCAAAACAAGAGCCUUUCAAAGAACUUUCCAGAAGGGCUCUUAUCUAUUUCCUACCUCCAUUCCUCCCACCCUUGCUUUUCCUUCCUUCUGUCUACUGCUUUCGGAUGUGUUGUGAAAAAAGAUAAAAUAGAGACAUUUAGAAACUGAAGUUCUAGACACAGCCUGCUCUUGACUUUAGUAUUAGAGAUAAGCCACCGCGUGUCUCUUGGACCUGGUUACUCCUUUUGUUGACUAAGUAAUUGUUGAAAGAAAACCUACCAGAAGCCUGAUCGCGCUUGGGACUGGGAGGUGAAGAGAACAUGUGGUCUCUGCUCUCAUGAGCUGACAUUACCAUAGGGAAAUGAGUGGUGACCACAAAGGGAGAGCCCAGUCUCACUGUAUGAAGUUGGGAGCGUCUGUCUAGGUGUCUACGCAUUUUUUGCUAUGAAAUUGGCACAGGAUUAUCCCUCCCAGACACUAAAGCGUCCUUUAAAAUGCAGCCCAGGCAAAGAACGACUUUCUAAACGAACAAAGGUACAGACCAGCACUCCCUGAUCUUCAGGCUUACUGUGAAAGCUGUAAUCACUUGACAAUGUGGUAGUCAUAAAGAUAGGCGUGUAGAUCUACGUGACAGAGUUUAGAGUUCAGAAAGAGACUCCCAUCUCUGUGGCCAAUUGAGUCAUGAUAAACUGUGGUGAUCAAAAGUACAGACUUUGAUAUGUAACUAGAUAUCUAUAUUGAGGAAGGUGCCUUGACCUUUUCCUCACGAUGUAUUGAAAAUUCAAUUCAAAACAGAUCCUAGAGCUAAAUCUGAAAGCUAGUAUCAUAAAGAUUCUAGAAUAAUAUAUGUGAGGAUGAUCCUUGGGAUGUUGGGUUGUCUUAAAUUUCUUAUUUAGAACACAGAAAUAUGAGACUUAAAAAAACAUUUAUUUUAAAACUUUACAAAGCUAGAUAGUAUGGUGCAUGAAUAUAAUUUUAGCACUUAGGAGGCAGAUAUAGGAAGAUCACUAGACGUUUGAGGCUAGCCUGUUCUACAUAAUAAAUCCCAGCCUAUCCUGGGCUACAGAGUGUGAUCCUGUCUCAAAAAACAAUCAAAACAAACAAACAAAAAACAAAUAAACA